rnacentral:lncRNA from 1 species
AGAACUAAAGCACCUUGCAAGGAAUGAAGUUGGUUCUUGAAGUCCGUGCUGACUGGCUGGGCGCAUUUGCGCAUUUGCUUCUCUGGCUGCAAAAUGGCCCGCAACAGCACUCACUAAUUUGUUGCUAACUUCAGGAACUGUGCGGACAGGUCUCUGAGGCUUCUGAGCCGCGCUAUGUCCAGUAGAUCUGGGCGCCUCAGAACCUGUCACAGCCGACGGAAGCGUUUAUCUGAGUUUCUUGUUUCUUCCCAACCUUUUGAUUUUCGCACCAUUACGCGCUCAACUAUGCCUCUUCUUUUGUCCUAUGGUCUCAACUAAUUAAAGGAAGAAAAGCAAUGCAUCCCUUUAUAUUUGACAUCAGCUUCCCCCACAUUCUCCAAAGCUUCUCUCACAAAUAAAGCCAGGUGCUCAGGCUGAGAAGAUUCAAGGAAAGGGUUCCUCACGUAGUUAUACAGUUGUGUUCCAGGGGAAGGAAAAUAUUGUUCGGUUUUGUUCUGCAAUUCCCCACGGUGGUUUUCGGUAAGACUUGAGACUUCCUUAUUCUAAAGUCCAAGCAGCAGUGGAAACAUUUCAAGAUCCCUUUUUGCAAUAUAACUUUUCCAAAGAUUCAAUAUUUAUUUAAACCCAAAAAUCUUGUCACUCGAAGUAAAACGAUUUUCUCCAGGGCCUGAAGAUCCUUGUUCAACUAGUUCAUGUGAUGAAAAUGUCUGUUAAGUAGGUGAUAUGGUUUGGAUGUUUGUUCCCUCCAAAUCUCAUGCUGAAAUUUGAUUCCCAGUGUCGUAGAUGGGACCUCGUGGGAGGUGAUUGGAUCAUGGGGGCAGAAUUCUCAUGAAUGGCUUAGCACCAUCCCCUUGGUGAUAAGUGAGUUUUCACUCAGUUCACUUGAGAUGUGGUUGUUUUAAGAGUCUGUGACCUCUUCUAUUUCUCUCUUGCUCCCACUCUUGCCAUGUGACAUGCUGGCUCCCCAUCACCUUCCGCCAUGAUUGUAAGCUUCUAGAGACCUCACCAGAAACUGAUGCCAGCACCAUGCUUCCUGUAAAGCCUCCAGAACCAUAAGCCAAUUAAACCUCUUUCUUUAUAAAUUACCUAGCCUUGGGCAUUUCUUUACAGCAAUGCAAAAAAAAACAAAAAUGCUGGUUUCCACAGCCAUUCUUUAUCUUCAAAGAAUUUGGUAAAAUCUGGG